GCCAAAAAGACCUUUCAAGCAAAGGAUGGUGAGUAGAUGAGAACGUGUGGCAAAAUAGUUCACCAACUCUUCUUCUAUCAGUGUCCGUCCAUUGAUCUCACCUACAAAUUCCCUCCCCUCUACUUCUAUAUACAGAAGCUGUUAUAAAAGCAAUCAAUUACAAGAGUAGGAUAGUACCAAGAUUUGUAAAGGAAAAAAAAAAGCCCCAAAACAGCUCGCAAGAUCAAGAAUGGAUUAUGAAGUACUGCCUGCAGUUUGCGUUCUUGAUGCUUCAACUUAUGUCGGUUUUUGGAUUCUCAAGGGACUCUUGAAUAGAGGAUACACAGUUCAUGCAGCUACCCAAAAGAAUGGAGAGACAGAGAUAGAGGAGAAAAUAAGAGAUAUGGAGAAAGAAGAGGAGAGAUUGGUAGUAUUUGAUGUAGAUGUUUUGGAUUACCAGAGCAUUCUUUUUGCUUUGAAGGGCUGCUCUGCUUUGUUCUGUUGUUUAGAUAGUCCAGAUGGAUAUGAAGAUGGAGUUGUUGAUUUUGAAGUUAGAGGAGCAAUCAAUGCAGUUGAAGCUUGUGCACAAACUGAUAGCAUAGAAAAGAUUGUAUUUACUUCUUCUUUAACUGCAGCAAUAUGGAAAGAAAACGUCUGUUCACAAGAAGAUGUAGAUGAGAAGUCUUGGAGUGAUCAAGAAUUUUGCAGGAAAUUAAAGUUGUGGUACGCCCUCACAAAGACACAGUCGGAACAAGCAGCUUGGGCUUUAGCAAUGGACCGAAUGCUGAACAUGGUUUCCAUUAAUGCUGGACUAGUUUUGGGCCCCGCUGUUGCUCAACAAAAUCCACGAUCCACUAUCUCUUACCUCCAAGGAGCAGCUCAGAUGUAUGAAAAUGGAGUGAUGGCCUUUGUAGAUGUGAAGUUCCUGGUGGAUGUUCAUAUUCGGGCUUUCGAGGAUAGGUCAACAUGUGGGCGAUACUUCUGCUUCAACAAGAUUGUGAAUACUGAGCAAGAGGCUCUUAAACUUGCCAAAAGCUUGAGCCCUUUAAUCUCUUUACCACCAAGGUAAUUAACUAAAUUAGUUGGUAGAAUAAUGCACGUGAAGGAUGAUAAAUUGAUGCAUGCAUACGUGAACGCUUUGGGCCCAUUUUUUUAUAUGCAGGUAUGAAUGCCAAGGAAGUGACGUGCAUGCUGAGAGGUUAAGGAACAAGAAGUUGAACAAGUUGGUUGAGGGUACUGCCUAUUAGUAGUCAUUUAAUGUACUUUUUUUCUUAUAUAUAAUAUGAUCAGCUAUAUGAGAUAGCCGAAUGGCUAACCUAUAGCCGAUUGGCUGCAUGUUCUCAGGUUUUUUUAAUGGCAUCUUGUGAUUUUUAUCAAUUAUCAUGAUAUCUUUUUGGAUGUAUCUGCGGGGUUAUAUUAUUGCUUUUUAUUGUUCCUUGAUAAAAUUAAAAUGCUUUUAAAU
rnacentral:misc_RNA from 1 species